rnacentral:rRNA from 1 species
AGGACGAACGCUGGCGGCGUGCUUAACACAUGCAAGUCGAGCGGAAAGGCCCUUCGGGGUACUCGAGCGGCGAACGGGUGAGUAACACGUGAGCAACCUGCCCUUAGCUCCGGGAUAGCUCCGGGAAACCGGAAUUAAUACCGGAUAUGACCUAGGCCGACAUCGGCUGUGGUGGAAAGUUUUUCGGCUGGGGAUGGACUCGCGGCCUAUCAGCUUGUUGGUGGGGUAAUGGCCUACCAAGGCGACGACGGGUAGCCGGCCUGAGAGGGCGACCGGCCACACUGGGACUGAGACACGGCCCAGACUCCUACGGGAGGCAGCAGUGGGGAAUCUUGCGCAAUGGGCGAAAGCCUGACGCAGCGACGCCGCGUGGGGGAUGAAGGCCUUCGGGUUGUAAACCCCUUUCAGCAGGGACUAAGCGAAAGUGACGGUACCUGCAGAAGAAGCGCCGGCUAACUACGCGCCAGCAGCCGC